GUUUUAAUAAUUUAAUUCAAAAUAUUGGUCUUGUAAACCAAAAAUAAGUGCCCUUUUAAAACA
rnacentral:tRNA from 1 species